AUGUCGAGAUUCUGGAGACCUGGGGCGGAGAAGCCGAGCGCAUCGCUCGUCGACGACGAGGAGGGCGGCGUCCUCUUCCUCCCCACCAACACCAACGCUUCUUCCUCCUCCUCCGGGUUUGGGUGCGCGUCCUUGGAGAGGCUGAGGCAGCGGCUGCCGGUGUACAAGUACCGCAAGGCCAUCCUAUACCUGGUGGAGCGGCAUGCCACGACCAUCAUCGUCGGCGAGACGGGUAGCGGCAAGUCCACGCAGAUCCCUCAGUAUCUUAAGGAGGCUGGUUGGGCUGAGGGUGGUCGACUUAUAGGUUGCACCCAGCCAAGACGAUUGGCCGUGCAGACGGUUGCAUCAAGGGUAGCUGAAGAAGUUGGUGUGAAACUUGGAGAAGAAGUAGGAUAUACAAUAAGAUUUGAGGAUGAAACAAACCCGGGCAUGACCAUGAUCAAAUUUCUCACAGAUGGAGUACUGAUUAGAGAAAUGAUGGAAGAUCCUCUUCUGAGCAAAUAUAGUGUCAUUAUGAUAGAUGAAGCUCAUGAAAGAUCCAUUUCAACCGACAUAUUGCUGGGACUCUUGAAAAAGAUUCAACGCCGUCGGCCGGAGUUACGCCUAAUCAUUUCCUCUGCAACAAUUGAAGCAAGAUCAAUGUCAGCCUUUUUCAGCAAUAGGCGGAAGAAUUCAUUGCUCAAGCCUGCUGAUGAUUUGCCGAACCCAGAACCUGCUAUACUUUCUGUUGAAGGUAGAGGAUAUACAGUAGAAACUCAUUAUCUAGAAGAACCUGUCUCAGACUACUUACAGGCUGCUGUGAAUACUGUUCUUAUUAUUCACGAAAAGGAACCACCUGGGGAUAUUUUGGUGUUUUUAACUGGCCAGGAUGACAUAGAUGCUGCUCUUAAGUUGCUAAAUGAUGAAAUUCAACAUCUGGGAAAACACUAUUUUGAUUUGGUGAUUUUGCCUUUGUACUCCGGCCUUCCGCGGGGAGACCAAGAUCUCAUUUUUGUUCCUACUUCCAAAGGGAAAAGAAAAGUUGUGAUAUCAACAAACAUUGCUGAGACAUCAUUGACUCUGGAGGGCGUGGUGUACGUUGUUGAUAGUGGAUUUUCCAAGCAGAAGUGCUAUAACCCGAUUUCUGACCUCGAGAGUCUAGUUGUCGCACCAAUAUCUAAAGCUUCUGCAAGGCAACGAGCAGGCAGAGCUGGAAGGGUGCGACCUGGGAAAUGCUUUAGGCUUUACACAGAGGAAUAUUACCUAAGUGAAAUGCAGUCAGAUGGCAUUCCAGAAAUGCAAAGGUCUAACCUUGUUUCCUGCAUAAUACAGUUGAAAGCGCUAGGCAUAGACAACAUCUUGGGGUUUGAUUGGCCAGCUUCUCCAUCACCAGAAGCAAUGAUUCGGGCUCUCGAAAUUCUAUUUUCACUAGGAAUCCUUGAUGAAGAUGCCAAACUAACAGUUCCCAUUGGUUUCCAAGUUGCUGAGAUGCCUCUGGACCCCAUGAUCUCAAAAAUGAUCUUGUCAGCAAAUGAUUUUGGAUGCUCUGAUGAGAUAUUGACGAUAGCAGCAUUUCUAUCUGUUCAGUCUGUGUGGGUCUCUAUGCGGGGAGUGAAGAAGGAAUUUGAUGAGGCCAAACUUCGGUUUGCCGCUGCUGAGGGUGAUCAUGUAACAUUCCUGAAUAUCUACAAAGGAUUUCACCAGUCUGGAAAAUCUAGUCAGUGGUGUUACAAGAACUUUUUGAAUCACCAAGCACUGAAGAAGGUCAUUGAAAUCAGGGCACAGCUUGUCAGGGUAGUGAAGAGGUUUGGCAUACAGCUGAAAUCCUGCGACAGAGAUAUGCAGGCAGUUAGAAAGGCCAUUAUUGCUGGUUCGUUUGCUAAUUCAUGUCAUCUGGAGGAAUAUGGCCAGAAUGGAAUGUAUAAAACAAUUAGGACGUCACAAGAAGUUUACAUUCAUCCAUCUUCCGUGCUCUUUAGGGUUAAUCCAAAGUGGGUCGUCUACCAGUCUCUUGUUUCAACUGACAAGCACUAUAUGCGUAAUGUAAUUGCCAUUGAACCAUCAUGGCUUACUGAAGCUGCACCGCAUUUUUACCAGUUCCGAACACCCAAUCCAGCUCCGCAUUAA
rnacentral:rRNA from 1 species